rnacentral:rRNA from 1 species
CAGCAGUAGCCGCGGGAAUACGGAGGGUGCAAGCGUUGUCCGGAUUUAUUGGGUUUAAAGGGUGCGUAGGCGGCUAUUUAAGUCAGCGGUGAAAGACUCCGGCUCAACCGGAGCAGUGCCAUUGAUACUGGAUAGCUUGAGUGUUGGAGGGGUACAUGGAAUUGAUGGUGUAGCGGUGAAAUGCAUAGAUACCAUCAGGAACACCGAUAGCGAAGGCAUUGUACUGGCCAACAACUGACGCUGAGGCACGAAAGCAUGGGGAGCGAACAGGAUUAGAUACCCGGGUAGUCCCUGUCUCUUAUAC